rnacentral:tRNA from 1 species
GGAACCUUAAGUUAAAUAAACUACUGCCCUUCAAAGGCAGUUAUGGGAAACCAGGUUUUA